rnacentral:rRNA from 1 species
UACGUAGGGUGCAAGCGUUGUCCGGAAUUAUUGGGCGUAAAGAGCUCGUAGGCGGUUUGUCGCGUCUGCUAUGAAAACUCGGGGCUUAACUCCGGGCCUGCAGUGGGUACGGGCAGACUAGAGUGCGGUAGGGGAGACUGGAAUUCCUGGUGUAGCGGUGAAAUGCGCAGAUAUCAGGAGGAACACCGGUGGCGAAGGCGGCAUCCUGGACCAAUACUGACGCUGAGGCGCGAAAGCUAGGGGAGCGAACGGG